CAAUAAAAGAUUUUUAUCUUUUACACAGGAAUUACUCCAGAACAAUUUGUUUGCACGGUGGGGUUUUAGGGUGGCAGAACCUCCCAGCACAGGGACCAUUUGCUGUCAAUUUUUGUCCCAGCCUCUGCCAGCCGUAGCUUCACCUCGGUGCAAAAUUCACAGCUCUGCAACGUUCAUUGUCACCUGAAUAAAGAUGUCAGGGAGGAGAAGGAAGUAUUUCCAGCUUGGUCACUGGAGCUCCAUCUCAUGGAGUGUUUCAUGACCUCCCCCACGGCUGCAGGAGGAAAUUCCCUCUGAGGGAAGGCUCUUUCUGCACGGGUGACUAUAGAGGGGGCUCAUUUCCCUGCAGGAGCUCAGGAGCAGGUCCUUGGUGGGGGUGGAACUCGUUCCAGAAGUCCCCUGGGAGGAACAGCUUUUGUGCAGAGCUGAUGUCUCACUAGAGCAUCACCUCCGUGCCCUGGCACAGCUGGAACAGGACCUGUGGCACAGCUGUGGGGCUGCUCCUGACGCCUCAGGUUUGAGCUUUUUUAUUUUUCAGUUCUGUGCUGCUUUAGUGUGUGGGUCUGGGUUCCAUAUUAUGGGAUGGCGAGCUCUCUUCACGGAGUAGGGAGACAAAACAAUUCCUUCUCCAGCCGGGACCGAGGACAAAUGAUCCAAAUUUCAGGCCCAAGAGCACAAACAACGUGGGCUGAAGAGAGAAAAACAAGAAGGAUGGGCUGGAGCUGUAAUUAGACAAUUAACUCCAAUAUACAAACGGAGCAGAACUUAUAAAAGUGAGAGACCCCAUGGCAGGUUGUGCAUUUUGUGACCAUUUUGGUUCAUUUUGGGUUCAUUUUGUGACCAUUUUGGGUUCACCUGGGGUGCAGCCUUGGCUGGGCCCUUGUGCUGCCCAAGAUGGAUCCAUGGAGGCCUCCUAAUAAAUCCCUGCUUUGUUCUUUA